rnacentral:rRNA from 1 species
CCUGGCAGUCAGAGGCGAUGAAGGACGUGCUAAUCUGCGAUAAGCGUCGGUAAGGUGAUAUGAACCGUUAUAACCGGCGAUUUCCGAAUGGGGAAACCCAGUGUGUUUCGUCACACUAUCAUUAACUGAAUCCAUAGGUUAAUGAGGCGAACCGGGGGAACUGAAACAUCUAAGUACCCCGAGGAAAAGAAAUCAACCGAGAUUCCCCCAGUAGCGGCGAGCGAACGGGGAGCAGCCCAGAGCCUGAAUCAGUAUGUGUGUUAGUGGAAGCGUCUGGAAAGGCGCGCGAUACAGGGUGACAGCCCCGUACACAAAAAUGCACAUGCUGUGAGCUCGAUGAGUAGGGCGGGACACGUGGUAUCCUGUCUGAAUAUGGGGGGACCAUCCUCCAAGGCUAAAUACUCCUGACUGACCGAUAGUGAACCAGUACCGUGAGGGAAAGGCGAAAAGAACCCCGGCGAGGGGAGUGAAAAAGAACCUGAAACCGUGUACGUACAAGCAGUGGGAGCACGCUUAGGCGUGUGACUGCGUACCUUUUGUAUAAUGGGUCAGCGACUUAUAUUCUGUAGCAAGGUUAACCGAAUAGGGGAGCCGAAGGGAAACCGAGUCUUAACUGGGCGUUAAGUUGCAGGGUAUAGACCCGAAACCCGGUGAUCUAGCCAUGGGCAGGUUGAAGGUUGGGUAACACUAACUGGAGGACCGAACCGACUAAUGUUGAAAAAUUAGCGGAUGACUUGUGGCUGGGGGUGAAAGGCCAAUCAAACCGGGAGAUAGCUGGUUCUCCCCGAAAGCUAUUUAGGUAGCGCCUCGUGAAUUCAUCUCCGGGGGUAGAGCACUGUUUCGGCAAGGGGGUCAUCCCGACUUACCAACCCGAUGCAAACUGCGAAUACCGGAGAAUGUUAUCACGGGAGACACACGGCGGGUGCUAACGUCCGUCGUGAAGAGGGAAACAACCCAGACCGCCAGCUAAGGUCCCAAAGUCAUGGUUAAGUGGGAAACGAUGUGGGAAGGCCCAGACAGCCAGGAUGUUGGCUUAGAAGCAGCCAUCAUUUAAAGAAAGCGUAAUAGCUCACUGGUCGAGUCGGCCUGCGCGGAAGAUGUAACGGGGCUAAACCAUGCACCGAAGCUGCGGCAGCGACGCUUAUGCGUUGUUGGGUAGGGGAGCGUUCUGUAAGCCUGCGAAGGUGUGCUGUGAGGCAUGCUGGAGGUAUCAGAAGUGCGAAUGCUGACAUAAGUAACGAUAAAGCGGGUGAAAAGCCCGCUCGCCGGAAGACCAAGGGUUCCUGUCCAACGUUAAUCGGGGCAGGGUGAGUCGACCCCUAAGACGAGGCCGAAAGGCGUAGUCGAUGGGAAACAGGUUAAUAUUCCUGUACUUGGUGUUACUGCGAAGGGGGGACGGAGAAGGCUAUGUUGGCCGGGCGACGGUUGUCCCGGUUUAAGCGUGUAGGCUGGUUUUCCAGGCAAAUCCGGAAAAUCAAGGCUGAGGCGUGAUGACGAGGCACUACGGUGCUGAAGCAACAAAUGCCCUGCUUCCAGGAAAAGCCUCUAAGCAUCAGGUAACAUCAAAUCGUACCCCAAACCGACACAGGUGGUCAGGUAGAGAAUACCAAGGCGCUUGAGAGAACUCGGGUGAAGGAACUAGGCAAAAUGGUGCCGUAACUUCGGGAGAAGGCACGCUGAUAUGUAGGUGAAGUCCCUCGCGGAUGGAGCUGAAAUCAGUCGAAGAUACCAGCUGGCUGCAACUGUUUAUUAAAAACACAGCACUGUGCAAACACGAAAGUGGACGUAUACGGUGUGACGCCUGCCCGGUGCCGGAAGGUUAAUUGAUGGGGUCAGCGCAAGCGAAGCUCUUGAUCGAAGCCCCGGUAAACGGCGGCCGUAACUAUAACGGUCCUAAGGUAGCGAAAUUCCUUGUCGGGUAAGUUCCGACCUGCACGAAUGGCGUAAUGAUGGCCAGGCUGUCUCCACCCGAGACUCAGUGAAAUUGAACUCGCUGUGAAGAUGCAGUGUACCCGCGGCAAGACGGAAAGACCCCGUGAACCUUUACUAUAGCUUGACACUGAACAUUGAGCCUUGAUGUGUAGGAUAGGUGGGAGGCUUUGAAGUGUGGACGCCAGUCUGCAUGGAGCCGACCUUGAAAUACCACCCUUUAAUGUUUGAUGUUCUAACGUUGACCCGUAAUCCGGGUUGCGGACAGUGUCUGGUGGGUAGUUUGACUGGGGCGGUCUCCUCCUAAAGAGUAACGGAGGAGCACGAAGGUUGGCUAAUCCUGGUCGGACAUCAGGAGGUUAGUGCAAUGGCAUAAGCCAGCUUGACUGCGAGCGUGACGGCGCGAGCAGGUGCGAAAGCAGGUCAUAGUGAUCCGGUGGUUCUGAAUGGAAGGGCCAUCGCUCAACGGAUAAAAGGUACUCCGGGGAUAACAGGCUGAUACCGCCCAAGAGUUCAUAUCGACGGCGGUGUUUGGCACCUCGAUGUCGGCUCAUCACAUCCUGGGGCUGAAGUAGGUCCCAAGGGUAUGGCUGUUCGCCAUUUAAAGUGGUACGCGAGCUGGGUUUAGAACGUCGUGAGACAGUUCGGUCCCUAUCUGCCGUGGGCGCUGGAGAACUGAGGGGGGCUGCUCCUAGUACGAGAGGACCGGAGUGGACGCAUCACUGGUGUUCGGGUUGUCAUGCCAAUGGCACUGCCCGGUAGCUAAAUGCGGAAGAGAUAAGUGCUGAAAGCAUCUAAGCACGAAACUUGCCCCGAGAUGAGUUCUCCCUGACUCCUUGAGAGUCCUGAAGGAACGUUGAAGACGACGACGUUGAUAGGCCGGGUGUGUAAGCGCAGCGAUGCGUUGAGCUAACCGGUACUAAUGAACCGUGAGGCUUAACCU